AUUCAAGAUCACCAUACAUCGAUUCGCUCUCGAUCCAUGCUUCAAAUAUGACUAAGGUUCCAAUCCAGGUUGUUCAGGAAAGAAACAAAAGAAAGGCUUCUGGCUAUAUAUAUGAACCUUCACCUCUGAUCCCAUGCAAGCCAUCAAAAAUUCAAAAAGGACUGAUGAUAAGCUUUUAUAACACAGUACGCUCUAUCGGAUAAAAGUCAUCACCCUUACUUACCGUAAGUCUCUCGAUCCUUGUUUUUUUUCUUACUGGGUAAGAUUCUAAGUCCUACCCUUUUCUAAGCUAUAUAUUAUGUAGCGAUCUAAAAUCUAAAAUGCCAACUAUUAUGUCCUACCCUUUUCUAAGCUAUAUAUUAUGUAGCGAUCUAAAAUCUAAAAUGCCAACUAUUAUGUAUCGGUCUAAAUUCUAAAAUGCCAACUAUUAUUUUCUUGACAUAUUUUUUUGUAACUGCAGUGCCGUACAAUUGGUUUGAUCAAAUCAGAGUAUUCAACUUGUGC